UGAACCACUACCACCACUUCUUUGCUCCAUUUGCUUCUUGAAUAACAUCCCCAAAACCCAGAUUUUUCUCUGGUCGAAUGAAACCACUUUCGUUUAUGAAUCUUGAUUUACCCAAAAUUGAGAUGUGAUUCUUAAACCCCAAUUUGUUACAAUCACCAUAAACAGAUUUAAUCAUCAUCAUCAUCUAGAGAAAUGAGGAAGUUUGAAUUUUUUCACACAUAAACCCUAGAAUUUUUUUCUCCCCAGACUCUGAAUUUCUCUUCAGUAAAUUCUUAAAGUUUUCUUUCGGUUUUAGUGAAAAACACUUUCGAUCAGGAAAGGAAGUUACGGCGGAUUCUGAACCUUCGAAUGUACCUGGACCGUCCACUGAGCCUGUGAGGAACCAGUUUCUUUCGGAAACCAUCUAAGAACAAAAACAUUAAGAAAGCGAAAGAAUAAUGGUGGUGAGGAGGAGUGGAGGACAAUGGAGAAGAAGGUUCCACAGUGAUUCAGAAAACCCAAAUUGGCUACAAUUCUCCAAAAGCUGAUAAUAAGCUACAUUUUUCAACUGUGACGUCAACGAAACAAUGGGUUGAAACAAAUCAAGGAGAUUAUAAGUCUGAUGGCAGAUGGAGAGAGAAUGGGAGGAAGCUAAGAAGAUUCGAAAGAGGAAUUUGGCUUUAAAAGCAGAUGAUGAUGAUGAGGAGGAGGAUGAGAACGGAAGAGUAAAUGUGAGUGAUGAUGAUGAAGAUGCGCUGCCUUUUGCGCGUUUCAUAUGUCGGUUGUCUUUCGUGGAUCCAUGGUUGCCAAAUGCAAGCACUAAUUCUGUGAGCAUUGUGCUCUUUAAGGCCUCGUGACUCCACAUUACAGAGAAGAAAUCAAAUUUUCUAGGGAAAAGCUGCACUCAAGCCAAGAAGGAGUUUCCAUAUAUUUUACAUGCAAAAGAUAUAUCCAGAUGAAUGGAAAAACUUUAUUUUGUGAACUUUAUUCGGAUGUACCUGAACCAUCCACUCAACCUGUGAAAGAACCAUCCAAGGAACCAGCAGAAGAUUCACUGAAGAAUUUGGCUUCAAAAGCAGAUGAUGAGGAUGAGAAUGAGAAAUUGUUCGAUAAAAGCAGAUUGCGGAGGAUGAGACUGGAAGAGCAAAUGCGAGUGAUGAUGAUGAUGAAGAUAAGCUGCGUUUUGCGUGUUUCAUCUGUCGAUAGUAUGGUAGGCCAUGGUGGUGAUUGAAAAUUUGAAAUGCCCAAAGCCAUUCGACAUUCCUUACUCUCAUUGGCGCCGUAAGUAAGGAGGAAAUAUUGUAUUUGGAAACAGGUCUGCACAAAACCACGCUCUAUGGCAUACCAAAUCAUUUGCGGCCGUCAAAAAUUACCUCCAACAAACACACAGGGCAGUAGCAAGACCUUGUGCUCAUUGGAUGAAGCAAAAUCAUCCGCACUUACAGUUAGAGUGAUCAGUUCAUAAUCAUAAUCAAUCGAAAUGUUGCUAGAUCAUCUUCAGGUCUGCACGAAACCACGCUCAGUGACAUACCAAAUCACUUGCAGCCGUCAAAAAUUACCUCUAACAAUCACACAUGGCAGCAACUAGACCUUGUGCUCCCUGGAUGAAGCAAAAUCAUCCCCCCUUACAGUUAAGUGACCAGUUCAUAAUCAGAAUCAUCAGCUUGUAUUCAAUCCAAGUGUUCCUUACACACAAUUACAAUCACACAUGGCAGCAACUAGACCUUGUGCUCCCUGGAUGAAGCAAAAUCAUCCCCCCUUACAGUUAAAAGUGACCAGUUCAUGAUCAGUGAUAGUAGAGCUCAGAUGAGUUGAUGUGGGUAUGGGUUCUCUCUUGAAUUUGGAUGCAUAUUUUGAUUGUAUUUUCAUGAUUGCCAAGUGUUUGUAAAUAUGAAACUGAGAACAUUUCUAAGGAUCUUACUAGAAUCAUGUACACACUUGCAUUUCAUCCUAAAUUACUAAUGCAUCUCAAGUAUGUGUGCAUGCUCUUGACAUUUUAUUUCUGUAGAGUUACUUUUUGUGCUUCUCGCCUUUGGUGGUUAUUCUUAUGUUCGGCUUGUUCCUAUGGGUCCUUAAUUUCCCGGUAACAUUUAACAUAUUUAGAUGCACUCUAGCUGAUAACCACUGCAAUUUCUUAGUAACUUCGCUACCAGCCUCACCACCUGACCAUUAUAGUUUGCGAAAUGAUAAUAUGAUAGUCUAUUGAAAUUAGCAGCUUUGGUGUUCUGUGACUUAAUAAGUCAUUUCAAUUGGGUUGAUAAAACAUUGGGAUUCAUUUAAAGUGUUACCGAUCAAAUGAAGGUCGGUAUUUUUUACAGCAACAAAUCAACUUAUAUUUUUCCUUGAUUAACUGAGAGUUCGCAUGAGCUCUCUUUCAGUAAAGCGAUAAGUUCAUUAUGAAUAUUCAUAACAAUUUAGGAUAUGAUAAUUGUUGGCCGAUUCAAUGGCCAUCUUGUCGGAGUAGGUUUCUUUGAAAUGAGAGUUAGUUGAUGACCAUCUAGGAUCAAAGAUUUCUCAUUCAGACUCUAGUUUAUAAGAAAUAAAAAUUACAACUUCCGUUUCAGGAAAAGUGAUGUUUUCACUUGUUUAUUUUUACUCUUUUAUUUUUACCUAAUAAUAAGUGAAAUAAAAAAAGUGAAAAAAUAUCACUUUUCUAUAAACAAACAGAGAGUAGGUUUUUUUAUUUUAGCUAAGGUAAAAAGGAGAGCGGGUCCCACUAUUAGUAGAUAUUUGCAUGCUACUAGAAAAUGGCCGUAGAUGGACUGACAAAAGCCAGGUGCAUAAAUCUGGUGAUGGUGAUUUUCCACUCUGAAGUACUACUCAAAGUGCAUGGGAAUUCUUCUUAGAGGAAAAUUCCUAGACAUUUCCCAUUUGACCUCUUCUUCUUCUUCUUCAUCACCUGCAUAUUUUUCUAAGAUCAUCUCCCAUCACUGGUACAAAUUCUUUACAAAGGUCUUUAAAAAAUAGCAAAAGAAGAAGAGUCUGUCUUGGGUAGUUUGAAAUUUUCUGAACAUGUCUUGUUUUUCAAGAAGAAAUACCAAGGCUAAGCAGCAACAGGAAAGGGAGAUUAUGCCCAUGACUGAUACUGAUCAGGUUGUACCACCAGCUCUUGUUGAGAUUGCUCCAAUCCUUCGUGUUGCUGAUGGAGUUGAAGCACGUUACCCUAGAGUUGCUUAUCUGUGUCGAUUUUAUGCCUUUGAGAAAGCUCAAAAGUUGGAUCCAGCUUCAAGUGGACGAGGUGUUAGCUCAUAUAAAUCUGCUCUUUUACAGCGUCUAGAAAGGGAAGACAUACCCACCUUAACGGGAAGAGUGAAAAAGACUGACGCACGUGAGAUUAAGAGUUUUUACAAGCAGUACCACCGGAAUUUCAUGGAAGCAUUGCAGAAGGCUGAUGAUAAAGAUGAUCUUACAGAACUUAGAAAGGUGUGGCAAACUGUUGGUGUCCUAUACGAGGUAUGUAAGUCUGUGAACCUGAAACAUGCGGUUCAAGUAGCUGAUGGUUUAAAGUUAGCAGUACCCCCACCUCCAUUUCCAAUUCGUCGUUAGAGCAUGCCAUGGGAAUUAAGGCAACUUGAAAGAGGAAAAAAGUUUGGAAGUUACUGUGAAUCAAAGAAAACAAACUCUCAGAUAUGUGUCUAAUUAGUACCUGCAACUACUGAUUACUGUUGUGUAUUUAAAGACAGAUUACUCGUGUUCUUCAUAUUUGCACUCCGAUUAGUGAAUGUUAAUAUUGUUAUUGAUUUA